AUUGAACGCUGGCGGCAGGCCUAACACAUGCAAGUCGAGCGAGCGGCGGACGGGUGAGUAAUGUCUGGGAAACUGCCUGAUGGAGGGGGAUAACUACUGGAAACGGUAGCUAAUACCGCAUACCAUCAGAUGUGCCCAGAUGGGGUUAGAUAGUAGGUGGGGUAACGGCUCACCUAGGCGCCGAUCUCUAGCUGGUCUGAGAGGAUGAGCCUCCACUCGGGAACUGAGACACGGUCCAGACUCCUACGGGAGGCAGCAGUGGUGAAUAUUGCACAAUGGGCGCAAGCCUGAUGCAGCCAUGCCGCGUGUGUGAAGAAGGCCUUCGGGUUGUAAAGCACUUUCAGCGGGGAGGCGUUACCCGCAGAAGAAGCACCGGCUAACUCCGUGCCAGCAGCCGCGGUAAUUC
rnacentral:rRNA from 1 species